GAAUUGUGCAGCUUCCCAUACGGCCC
rnacentral:piRNA from 1 species